GAACAUGGAGUUUUGAAGGGGGAAACCAUUUGUGGUAUUUGAGUCCCGGAGGCAUAUGAAACCGCCCACAGAAGACACAUUCCAAAGUCUUCAGUGGGAACCUGGGAGAGGGCAGAGGACUGCGCGGCGCUGGAUGGGGUAGAGCGAGGAGGGUCGAGGAGGGGCGCCACAGCCCACAGAGCAGGCACCGACCUCACUGCGCAUGUGCCCUGGGCGUCUUCCCGUCGGCCCCUUUGCCCACGUGGUGAACGCGGCGGAGCUGUGAGGGUGUGAGGGUCGCGCUCCUGCUGUCUGGACUUUUUCUGUCCUACUGAGACACGGCCGACAUGAGAUGAUGAACCUCAAGUACCACCCCAGACAACAAGGCUGCUUCAUCAGGACACAAACCUGCCUGUACCAGGACCUCUGACCUGUGUGCAGUACAAUUUUGUGUUGCGGGAAGUCACGUACUCUGAACGGAGGGACUGGCUGAAACUGUGGCAGAAGAACAUAAAUUGUGAAGAUUUCAUGGACAUUUAUUAGCUCCCCAAAUUAAUACUUUUAUAAUUUCUUGCGCCUGUCUUUACUGCAGUCUCUGAACAUAAAUUGUGAAGAUUUCAUGGACAUUUAUCACUUCCCCAGUCAAUAUUCUUGUGAUUUCCUAUGCCUGUCUUUACUUUAAUCUCUUAAUCCCAUCAUCUUCGCAGGUAAGGAGGAUGUAUGUCACCUCAAGACCCUGUGAUGAUUGUGUUAACUGCACAAAUUGUUUGUAGAGCAUGUGUGUUUGAACAAUAUCAAAUCUGGGCACCUUAAGAACAGGAUAACAGCGAUGUUCAGGGAACAAGAGAGAUAACCUUAAAGUCUGGCUGCCUGUGGGCUGGGCGGAACAGAGCCAUAUUUCUCUUCUUUCAAAAGCAAAUAGGAGAAAUAACGCUGAAUUCUUUUUCUCAGCAAGGAAAAGCCCUGAGAAAGAGAAUGCGUGCCUAGUGGUAGGCCUCUAAAAUGGCUGCUCUGGGGACGUCUGUCUUUAAUGGUUGUGGAUAAGGGAUGAAAUAAGCCCCAGUCUCCCAUAGCGCUCCCAGGCUUAUUAGGACAAGGAAAUUCCCACCUAAUAAAUUUUGGUCAGACCAGUUGUCUGCUCUCAAACCCUGUCUCCUGAUAAGAUGUUAUCAGUGACAAUGCAUGCCUGAAACUUCAUUAGCAAUUUUAAUUUCGCCCUGGUCCUGUGAUCUCACUCUGCCUCCAUUUGCCUUGUAAUGUCUUAUUACCUUGAAAAGCAUGUGAUCUCUGUGACCCACACCCUAUUCGUACACUCCCUCCCCUUUUGAAAAUCACUAAUAAAAAGUUGCUGGUUUUGCGGCUUUGGGGGCAUCACAGAACCUGCCGACAUGUGAUGUCUCCCCCGGACAUCCAGCUUUAAAAUUUCUCUCUUUUUUACCCUUUCCCUUUAUUUCUCAGACUGGCUGACACUUAGGGAAAAUAGAAAAGAACCUACGUGAAUUAUCAGGGGCGGGUUCCCCCGAUAAUUUUGACUGAAGUAGAGUCAGUCAAAUAUUCUUGACUUGGUUCCAAUUUUAAAGAAGAAACAUUCAGUUUCUCACCAAUAAGUGUAAUAUUUGUAGCUUUCUAAAUAAAUGCUGUGUAUCAGUUUAAGG
rnacentral:lncRNA from 10 species